GUGAUAUACAUGCUUCCGGGAAGUGACGUCAGCACCAUGGAGGAGGAAGUUGUUGCCUUUGUCCGUCUCCUGUAGGUUACAACCAGUUGCGACAUCCAUUGAUCAACAAAGGACUGCCUGCACAGCGCACCAGAGCACCUGAGAGAUCCGCGCAUCUAUACAUCUGCAGCCUCCAGCGGUGGCGGGUGGCGCCUGGGACCUGAGGCCUCUGGAACCACAGCAGAACCCGUGACCCAGCCCCCAGUGGCGGCGCUCCCUACCGGCUCUACUAGCAGCCGGGGCUGCAUACAAGACCCUGGACCCCGGGCAGCAACAGCCACACCCGUGAACACAGCGCCUCCAGCAGCAGUGCUGGCAGCAUCCUCAGACAACCCGGCAGCAGCAGCGCAGGUGGGGCGCGGGGCAGCAGCACCCGAGCCCGUGGAGAACCUGCAGAGAGCCAGUGUAGGAACACAGACCCAGGCGACCCUGGGUAACCCCGACGGUGACCCUUGAGACGGCAGCACCAUCGGAAGCAGCAAGGCACCAGCAACCCCAGAGGCACAAGCAGCACAAGGAGGGCACUGACGACCCUCUGGCAGAGGCUGUGGAGGGUGGAAAGUGCAGCCUCUCAGAUACAACCAGAAGCAGCUCAGAACCAAGUAGCCAAAGCCAUAUCCAAAUAAGAAAGGCUUCACUACCACAGAUGGGCCCGCGGAGGAACAAGUCUUCAAGAACCAUGAAGAACUACCGUAAGAGGGCAGCACGGAAAGAAAAUGACAGCUCUCCAGAAACCAAACUUGAAGUCACGGAAUAUUGUGAUCUAACUAGCAGAGAACUCAAUAUGAUUAUCAUGAAGAAACUCGACGAAAUCCAAGAAGGCUUUGAAAGACACCUCACUGAGCUCAAACAGGGCUGUGUCGCCAAACUGAUUGACGCUAUAAAAGAACACCAUGCAGUAGUUCGGGAGAUGAAGAACACACUUGAUGAGAUAAAAAAUAGUGUAGGAAGCAUUGGGAAUAGAGCUGACCGUAUGGAAGAGAGAGCCCAAAGUGAGCUGGAAGAUAGAAAUCAACAUCCUUCUGUUCCCCUUUGUCUACGUAUAAUAUAGUGUAUAUGUUUAUAUAUAUACACACAUACAUAUAUAUUUACAUUGCAUAAAUGGGACCAUACUGUAUAAGUUUUUCCAUAUUGUGCUCUUUUCCUUAAUGCUCUGUUGUCUUGGAGACAAUUUCAUUAUUACAUAUGGGUCUACUUGAUUCUUUUUAACAUCUGAAUAGUAUUUCGGUGUGGAUGAACCAAAAUUUAUUGAAAAACUAUGUUUGCAUUAGUCUGAAUUCCAACAGAAGUUAGAUGGCACAUUCAAGUAAGGAUAAUUGGGGGAGGUUUAUCUCCAAAAGGCUAAUUAUAACUAACUAUAACGGUAAGGAUGGGUGUAGGAAGGGCAGGACAUAACAGCAGCAGAGCUGUCAUCACCCUUAGGUCCCAAAGGUAUGAAGAGAGGGAGAGGUUGCCAAGCCUCAGAUUUCAUUGUACUUUAUGAAAAUGCCUCUUGUUGGCUGUUGGAAUUUCAUCAGCUUUGACUUUGUGACAUGUGAGCAUAUUAAUACUCCUGAAGCUGAACACUGGGGAUUCUCUUUCUUAAAGUUUUGAGUGUCAGAAUAGAGGGGCCUGUCAGAUAUUAAAAUGUUCCCUCUGGAUAUUCCAAGGGUUUUAGGCAUAGAAUGAAUGUUGAGAUGUCACGUAGCCAAUUUCUCUAUUUGGAUAUAUUUCUUUUUACUUAAAUGUCAAAGGUUGUGAUUGUGGUUAGAAUUAAUUCAGGUGGAUUCAAGAGUGCCAGUCAGAAAAGAUUAGACGUUAGAAAUCUUGCUGAAAAUAAACCAGAGUAUUUUCAGUUGUGUAGAGGAAUCAGAACUUCUUUAUAUUUGAAGGAACAGAUUUCACAAAAUUGACCGUAAAUGCGAAACUUCUCCAUGAUAAGGAGAAACAAAAAUAAAACGCCCUGAGGUUCUCUUUGCAGCAUGUUAAGUAAAAAAUAAGUGGUGAAAACUUUUAAAUGGGGCAAUAGGAAAUUAACUAGAUGAAAAAUUGUAUAGACAUUAAAAUUAUAAUCUGCAGACUAUAAAAACAGUUUGCAUGUGGAUAAAAGAUCUGAAUGUAAAUAAUUACAACUAAGUAGAAUAUUUUACUAAAAUAUUGUACAAAGUGUGUUAAAGAUGUAUGAUUUGUUCUGAUAACAGGGUUGAAGGAUUGGGGGCAGUUUAUUUUUUUGUAUUAUAGUUUAAAACAAGUAUGUGUAUCUGUAAUCUAUUCCAGUAGCUGAAAGUUCUGAACUCUGGAACUUUAGUAAAAUGUCGUUAUUAUGAAUGAUCCAUUCAUUUGUACAAUUGUACUCUUUUGUACAUUUGAUGUUCCUUGCAGAAUUAUCCAUAGAUAAGUAGUAUUAAUCUUCUGGUAUGUGUACUAAUUAUCUAAUUAGAUCUCAGUAUAUUAUCUUCAGGUUGAUCGGCAUGCUUCAAAAAAAACUAUUGAUUCCAUAAUGGCUCUUAAGUGCCAGCCUUUUAAGAUUUCCUGCAAAAACUGUUUAAGGACUUUAAUUCCUUCUAAAACUGUGAAAUAGAUACUGGUGAUACUUACAUGAAACAGAGGACAAAUCCUUUUGCAAGCACCACACCAUUUUGCUGAAAAUUCUACCACCGCAAGUUUGCAUCCAGCAGCUUUCAGAAAUGUUUUGAAUUCAUCCUGAGGCCAGAACACCAAGGAAGAAAUGUACACAAUUGCUGAAUCUCAAGAAGUCUUGCAGAGAAUAAAAUGACAGUUUGGUUCUUAAAAAGGUUAACCAGGUACCCCAGCCUAUUGUUCUCCAGGUGACUCAACCUUUCUUAAAUGUCCUGAGGUCAUAUAUGUUUAUCUUUGUAAGUACACAUAAAUGAUAAUAAAUACACAAAAAAAUA